rnacentral:sRNA from 1 species
AAAAACACAACAUCCGGUAAUUCUGAAAAAACCAGAAACACGAUAACGUUGAAUGAAUUAUUUUAGGAUUAAGCUCAAUAAAGGUGUAAAGCAAAAGCGUAGAUAUUCGGGAGCCAGAUUAUAAAAAAAGCCGAUAUUAAUAUCGGCUUUUUUAUA